AAAAAGUUCAUAAUAGAUGUUACCCAAAUAACAAUAGGUUUCAUUAUAAUUAUAUUUGCAUAUGAAAAGAUGGAAAAUAUAAAUUCAAAAUUGAGAGGCAUGCGAGACCACAAGGACAUUUCACUAGCACACCCGCAAGUGGCUGCUGCUGCACAUGAAUCCUUGGCGGUGGCCUGCAAAAAGUUAGGCAGGACUUACAAGACAGAUUAUGAUGCAGG
rnacentral:lncRNA from 1 species